rnacentral:rRNA from 1 species
UGGCGGCAGGCCUACACAUGCAAGUCGAGCGGAUGACGGGAGCUUGCUCCUUGAUUCAGCGGCGGACGGGUGAGUAAUGCCUAGGAAUCUGCCUGGUAGUGGGGGACAACGUUUCGAAAGGAACGCUAAUACCGCAUACGUCCUACGGGAGAAAGCAGGGGACCUUCGGGCCUUGCGCUAUCAGAUGAGCCUAGGUCGGAUUAGCUAGUUGGUGGGGUAAUGGCUCACCAAGGCGACGAUCCGUAACUGGUCUGAGAGGAUGAUCAGUCACACUGGAACUGAGACACGGUCCAGACUCCUACGGGAGGCAGCAGUGGGGAAUAUUGGACAAUGGGCGAAAGCCUGAUCCAGCCAUGCCGCGUGUGUGAAGAAGGUCUUCGGAUUGUAAAGCACUUUAAGUUGGGAGGAAGGGCAGUAAGCUAAUACCUUGCUGUUUUGACGUUACCGACAGAAUAAGCACCGGCUAACUCUGUGCCAGCAGCCGCGGUAAUACAGAGGGUGCAAGCGUUAAUCGGAAUUACUGGGCGUAAAGCGCGCGUAGGUGGUUUGUUAAGUUGGAUGUGAAAGCCCCGGGCUCAACCUGGGAACUGCAUC